rnacentral:tRNA from 6 species
GGAAGAUCGUCGUUUCCGGUGAGGCGGCAGGACUUCAAAUCCUGUUGAGGCUGCCAGCAGUCUCGGGUAGGUUCAACUCCUACGAUCUUCCGCCA